rnacentral:rRNA from 1 species
AUUGAACGCUGGCGGCAUGCUUUACACAUGCAAGUCGAACGGUAACAGGGUGCUUGCACCGCUGACGAGUGGCGAACGGGUGAGUAAUGCGUCGGAACGUGCCGAGUAGUGGGGGAUAACGCAGCGAAAGUUGUGCUAAUACCGCAUACGUACUGAGGUAGAAAGUGGGGGACCUUCGGGCCUCACGCUAUUCGAGCGGCCGACGUCUGAUUAGCUAGUAGGUGGGGUAAAGGCUCACCUGAGCGACGAUCAGUAGCGGGUCUGAGAGGAUGAUCCGCCACACUGGGACUGAGACACGGCCCAGACUCCUACGGGAGGCAGCAGUGGGGAAUUUUGGACAAUGGGCGAAAGCCUGAUCCAGCCAUGCCGCGUGUCUGAAGAAGGCCUUCGGGUUGUAAAGGACUUUUGUCAGGGAGGAAAUCCCUAGUGCUAAUAACACUGGGGGAUGACAGUACCUGAAGAAUAAGCACCGGCUAACUACGUGCCAGCCGCCGCGGUAA